rnacentral:rRNA from 1 species
GACGAACCGUCCGAACGUUAUUCGGUAUCACUGGGCUUAAAGAGUUCGUAGGCGGCUCCGUAGGUGAGGUGUGAAAUCCCUCGGCUUAACCGAGGAAUUGCGCUUCAAACCGUGGAGCUAGAGGAAGAUAGGGGUGAGCGGAACAGAUGGUGGAGCGGUGAAAUGCGUUGAUAUCAUCUGGAACACCGGUGGCGAAAGCGGCUCGCUGGAUCUUUUCUGACGCUGAGGAACGAAAGCUAGGGGAGCGAACGGG